CGUGUAGGCGGUUCAGAAAGCGGCGUGUGAAAGCCCGGAGCUCAACUCCGGAACUGCAUGCCGAACUCCUGGACUAGAGGACGAGAGGGGGGUGCGGAACUCUAGGUGUAGCGGUGAAAUGCGUAGAUAUCUAGAGGAACGCCGGUGGCGAAAGCGGCACCCUGGCUCGUAUCUGACGCUGAGGCGCGAAAGCGUGGGUAGCAAACA
rnacentral:rRNA from 1 species